GUGCUUGCUCAGGCAGCACACAUGAAAAAUUGGAAUCAAUACAGAGAAGAUUAGUAUGGCCCCUCCGAAAGGAUGACACACACAAAAUAUUACGCAAAGCAGCAAUAC
rnacentral:snRNA from 1 species